rnacentral:lncRNA from 1 species
AUGCUCAGUUUUGCGUUCCAGACGGCAGCGAUUGGGAGCGACUACUGGUACAUUAUUAAGGUCAAAAGGUGUUCUUUCACAUUUAACUCCUCCAGCUACUCUGAACCUGCGAUGCACAUGUUGAACAUGCACAGUGUGAGUGUGGUCUUGCUCCCUCUUAGCCUGGUCCUUCUACUGUUUGGAGGAAUCUGUGGCUUGAUCAGUUCCCAGCCCUGGGGCCCCGCCCUCCUCACUAGCACUGUCUCCUAUCUCUUCUUCUGCAGUAAGUGUGGCCUCCAUCAUCAUCAUUAUCUCUCGGUCUUAGGGCCCAAACACCAAGUCUUAGUUCUGCUUCUGCCAUGCCAACUCCUUGUUACUCAUUGUCAUGUUUGGCAUUACAAGAAGUUGACAUUAUGGCACACAAGUAGAUAAGGGAUAAAGGGAAGGCUACCUAACACCUACAGGCCCAAGUCCAAAAUUCACUACUAUGCAGCAUACUACCAUCCAUAUAGCCUUUUAAAGCAGCGUUAACCAACUCCAGUCCUCCACUACUCCCAACAGCCCAACUCCAGUCCCCCACUACCCCCGGUAGCCCCCCUCCAGUACCCCACUCCAGUCCCCCACUACCCCCGGUAGCCCCCCUCCAGUACCCCACUCUAGUCCCCCACUACCCCCUGGUAGCCCCCCUCCAGUACCCAACUCCAG